rnacentral:rRNA from 1 species
UACGAAGGGCGCUAGCGUUGCUCGGAAUCACUGGGCGUAAAGCGCACGUAGGCGGCUUCUUAAGUCGGUGGUGAAAUCCUGGAGCUCAACUCCAGAACUGCCUUCGAUACUGAGAGUCUUGAGUUCGGGAGAGGUGAGUGGAACUGCGAGUGUAGAGGUGAAAUUCGUAGAUAUUCGCAAGAACACCAGUGGCGAAGGCGGCUCACUGGCCCGAUACUGACGCUGAGGUGCGAAAGCGUGGGGAGCAAACAGG